GAUGAACGCUGGCGGCGUGCCUAAUUCAUGCAAGUCGAGCGAACAGACGAGGAGCUUGCUCCUCUGACGUUAGCGGCGGACGGGUGAGUAACACGUGGAUAACCUACCUAUAAGACUGGGAUAACUUCGGGAAACCGGAGCUAAUACCGGAUAAUAUAUUGAACCGCAUGGUUCAAUAGUGAAAGACGGUUUUGCUGUCACUUAUAGAUGGAUCCGCGCCGCAUUAGCUAGUUGGUAAGGUAACGGCUUACCAAGGCGACGAUGCGUAGCCGACCUGAGAGGGUGAUCGGCCACACUGGAACUGAGACACGGUCCAGACUCCUACGGGAGGAAGCAGUAGGGAAUCUUCCGCAAUGGGCGAAAGCCUGACGGAGCAACGCCGCGUGAGUGAUGAAGGUCUUCGGAUCGUAAAACUCUGUUAUUAGGGAAGAACAAAUGUGUAAGUAACUAUGCACGUCUUGACGGUACCUAAUCAGAAAGCCACGGCUAACUACGUG
rnacentral:rRNA from 1 species